AGCGAACGCUGGCGGCAGGCCUAACACAUGCAAGUCGAGCGCCCAGCAAUGGGAGCGGCAGACGGGAUAGUAACACGUGGGAACGUACCUUUCAGUUCGGAACAACCCAGGGAAACUUGGGCUAAUACCGAAUACGCCCGUAAGGGGAAAGAUUUAUCGCUGAAAGAUCGGCCCGCGUCUGAUUAGCUAGUUGGUGGGGUAAUGGCCCACCAAGGCGACGAUCAGUAGCUGGUCNGAGAGGAUGAUCAGCAUCAC
rnacentral:rRNA from 1 species